GAUCUCCAAGAAAUUCCCCACUAAUAUUACUGUAUAACUUAUCAAUGCUACACGACAAAUUAUACAAAGACACAAAUAUAAAACUCACCACCCAUUUCAUCAUUCACUCCCACACUUUCUUCCAUUUUUGAAAAGCUCUACCUGUGACCACCACACUUCCAUUCUCAAUCCAUGGACGGCCAUUCAGGAAUGCAUGGCCAUGGUUUCGGUAAUGCCAGAACUCCUUUGUUAGACAGACAUGCCGUAAGUUUUUAAGUUUUUUUUUUCUACUUCCGUAAAACUUCUAUUUUCAUCUAAUAACUAUAAAAUUCCCUUUUAUUUGUUGGGUUUUAGCGAAUUUGUGUUUAUAGAUUUGUUGGAUUUUAGUAAAUUUGCGUUCGGAGUUUAUUUUACUGUGUAAAAUCGCAGGUGUUGAAAAUUUUCUGCGAAUUGAGGUUGUUAGGUCAUGAUGUUCGAUAUUGGUACUAAAUUAAUUAGCCCAACUUCUGAUUGUAUUUUUUUUGAAUGGGGUUUGAUGGUUCAUAGACUUCUCGGUGUUUAGUUUGGUUAGUACAUCGUCAUGGGAAUGGAAACUGGACUUAAUCCAUAGCUCUUCUUGUCCAAUUUGAAGUUUACUGCGUAGAAAUGUAUCUAUAUUAUUACUUAUUUCAGAUUCAAAAUCAUUGAGCAUGUAGUGCUAAUGGUGAGGAGUAUUACAAUAGCAGCUUUGAGAAUUUGAUUAGGCAAGGGAAUGCUGUGUGUUUUAGCAGAUUCUUUUUUUAGUUUUAAUUGUUCGUGUCGUCUUAAUAGUUAGGGAGAAAGAGAAAUGAUGCUGGAGAUGAUCAGCUGGGAGACCUUGAGCAUGGUGAUUCUGUUCCGGUAACUUUAAGUUUUGUUUUCAUGUUUCAAGUCAUGUAUAGUACUAACCAUUGUUGUGUACAAGUAGCUAACUUCAUCUUCAUCUUCAUCUUCAGGCACCAAAUGUUGGAUUUGGCAGAGUUAUUUCACUUGUAAGUGGAUAUUGUUUGUGUCUGUAGUUUGGCAGGCAAACUGUGUGCAUCAAACUUUUAACAUGCACCUAUUUUGCAGGCAAAGCCUGAAGCAGGAAAUUUGGUACUGGCGACAAUUGCUUUGCUGUUUGCAGCAACAUCAAGCAUUUUGAUUGUCGGUACCUCUUUUUCAGUUCACUGUUUUUCUACUGAAGCAAAAGUUGGAUUUCCUAGAUUUUCUUAUCGCUGACUUUAUAAUGCUCAAUUUUGCAGCCAAAAUUUGGGGGAAAGAUAAUUGAUAUUGUUUCAGAUGAUAUCCAAACACCUGAACAGAAAUCAGAAGCUUUAAAUGCAGUCAAGAACACAAUACUUGAAAUCUUUCUGAUUGUCAUUGUUGGGUAUUCCCUGCAACUUUUGGCCAACUUUCUUUUUCUAUCUUUUCAUGCUCUGCUAAAGCAAAUCUUCAAUUUAAUUAUUGGUAACCUGAAUCGUUGCUUGGAGUUUGUAUUCUACUAAUCUAGGCUUUCACGGUGAAGGGGGCACAAUGAGACACUUGGCCCCUCCACAAUGGGUUUCCCCUUCAAUUGCAUUUUGUAAUGUUUAACUUUGCAACAAUAAUUGUACUAAAUCGACCACCAUCCAUCAAAUUGAAAUCAACAAAUUUUCAAUAUUUUAACUAUACCAUCCAUCAAAAUAUAUACACAAAAACAUAUUUCGGUUAAUAACCAACAAAUCACCAAUUAUAAUAUCGGAUCAGCUACCAAAGUAUAUUCCUUAACACAUAUCACUAUUUAAAAUAACAUAUCAUCAAUAAUUGUACCAAAUUGACUACCAAAGUGUACACAAAAAAAAUGUGUUUAAAAUUUUUCCCGAUAAUUUAUGGACCACAUGAUACAAAUUAUAUUAACUAUGAUAAUGCGGAUCUUCUUCAAAUUAACAGUUGUAAUUUUUUAUUUUGAACAAACAAUCAGGCUCUUGACAUCGAUAUAAACCUUCAUCAAAUGAGGACUCUUUCCGGGAGCAUUAUCAAAAGCAACUUUUUUACUCAUAAUCGAAUUGUGAUGUAAGAGAUGAUUUUAUAAAAAAAACAAAGAGAAAUAUUUUCAAGGAGUUUCAAAACUUUUUCUUGAAAAAGAUGAAAAAAAUGUGUGCAGCAAUGCGUUUACCAAGGAAAAAAAAGAGUACAUCAAUGAUAUUUCUUCCGUGUAAGGUUAACAUGAAAGAGAAAGUAAGAUAUUUAUUAAAGAUAAGGGUCUGAAAAAUAUCCUAACUUUGGUCAGAUCUACUGUUGCGAUACUAAAUUUUCAGGAGGAUCUAUUACCUCCCUAGACUAUUUAAUACCGUAUUUUUUAUCUCAUGAACUAUUUUAAUAGUGUAUUUUUAAAGAUAUAUAUGUGCUCACGUGGACACAUUACUAUUUAUAAUUUUGCAUAUUUUUUAUGUCCACGUGAACAAAUAUCUAUGUUUAAAAUACGGUAUUAAAUAGUCUAGGGAGGUAAUAGAUCCUCAUGAAAGUUUAGUAUCGUAACAGCAAAUUCGAUCAAAAUUGAGAUAUUUUUCAGACCCUUAUUUUUUUUUAAAGUAAAUAGUGGAUAAACAUGAAAUGCUAUUCCUAUAGGCUAAUAAAUUAUUAUUAUUAUUAUUUAGGUAAAAAGUGGUAAGCCACGAGUGCAAGAUUGGAAAACGAUAUUGUAAUAGUAGAUUUUUCUACUUUAAACACUAGUGACGAUGAAUAUUCUUUUGAACAAAACUUGGGUCAUCGUAUCAACUUGCCGCUAUAGAAUUUCUUAGCAACUACUACUCUAUUCAUAUACAAAGUAUAAGCCAUUUCCAUGUCUUUCCGUUUUCCAAGAAAUCCAUAAAUUAUUAACUUGUACUAGUAUAUUAUCGUGAAUUAGAAUCACCAAACAAAGAGAAUAAGAACUUCUUGAAAGGAUUAAAAAAUAAAGAGAAUUUCAUACCUUAAAUUAUCCAAUUAGUUACCAUAUUUUUUGAGUUAUACUACUUCCUCCGUUCCUUUUUAUAUGUCAUCCUUACUAUAAAUAGUUGGUCAAUAAUACUCCUUCUGUUCCUAAUUACUUGUCCAUUUUUCUUUUUAUAGUUGUCCCUAAUUACUUGUCCAUUUUGACAAAUCAAGAAAGGACAAUAUUUUUUUACCUAUUAUACCCUCAAUUAAAUGACUAAUUACUUUGAAAAAUGCAAAAUUUUCAUCUACUUCAUAAUUAAUAGGAGUAAAAUGGUAAACUCAUUAUGCCAUUAAUUAAUUUCUUAAUAUGUGUGUCAAUUCAAAAGUGGACAAGUAAUUAGGGACAGAGGGAGUAUUUGUCAUUUUAUAAAAUCAAUGCAUAAAUUUGACCAAUCUAGAAAAAUUAAGUGAAUAAUUCAUGUUCAUUGGUCAAAUUAAUUAAUCAAAAUAAAUUAAUUUAUAUUCAUUGAUUGAAAAGUUGACUUAAAAAAAUAAAAAUAAAGUAGAAUAGUUAACUUGCUUAAUUUUUAAUGCAUGUGAAAUAAAAAAUGCUGACAUAUAAAUAGGAACGGAGGGAGUAAAAAACAAAAACAACAAUAAUAACUUAUUUAAUGAACUUGGAAUACUUCAAUUAAAUUUAUACCACAGUAAAAUCUCACUAAAUUAAUAUAGGUGAGACAAUGAAAUGUUAUUAAUUUGUUGAGGUAUUAUUAAUAUUUAUUAAUUUAAAGAAUGUUUUGUGAAAACGUCAUUUUUGAACUUGAGGCCAUGAUAAGUGAUCCCUAUUACUGAAAAAAUUUGACAUCAAUAACUUCUUGGAUUAUCUAGAUGAAAGUAAUACAUGUUGAGAGGUCCAUAACUUAGAAGAAAUUGUGGCUACCAUAAAAAAAACAAUGUUGAUGAUGAAGUUGAAUAUAAUACAGUACAUUUGUAAUUAUUAACGCGAAAGGAAACACUUAUCACAUCUAUAAAUUUUCACAAUUUUAUGGUGCAGUUCAAAAAGAUAACACCAAAACUUUUUGAUGUAAUAAGAAAAGUUAGAGAUGAGCUUCAACUAGAUUUAUUUAAAAUAAAUAAAUAAUAGAAUCAUAUUUCACUAAAUUGUCUUAGAUAUAUUAAUACUCUUAAAGAAUUAUUAAUUCAUAAUAUUGUUGGGAUCAUAUAUUUAUAUAGGAAUCUUACGAAAAUAUAUAAUUUUAUUAACUUAUCAAAAUGAGUGAUUUUUUCCACUGACCAAGUCAGAACCAAAAAAAUAUUAAUUUAUCAAAUAUUAAUUUAGUGAGGUUUAAUUGUAUCUCUUUAUUUGAAUUGCUUUAAUGAUACAGAAUAUUCACUCCGUUUACUUAUUUAGAUGGAAAAGGUGCUGAAAAGUCAUAUGAUUCAACUAACAAAAGCAGGCCGGGUCGGGCCCACAAAACUUUUAACGACUUAUUUCGGUCUUUUAAAAGUAUAUAGUUCUGGGAAGCAACUCAUUUCAAUUUACUUGUAGUAAAAUGUCGCUAAUUUUCCUGUGGAUUAUAAGCAACAAAGUAAUACUCCAAUAUUUAGUAUAAUUUCACAAAUUUAGACUUAAAGAAAAUAGUAAAAUGUACAGAGACUUGUCUUUUAUCUCAAAAGUUAAAUAAUUGUUUCAUAGAUCCAUCACAAUCUUAAAAAAAGAAUAAAAUAAAAUAAGAACAAGCAAUAUGGAGAUUAAUGAGCAAAAUUUGUGGCAAUUUUUGAGAACAGUUGCCACUUGCCAGUAUAACAAAAUUGUUAAAUCUCCAUAGUGUUGCAAAUGACAUAAGCAAUUACCUAAAUAGAAUUUUUUAUUGACAGCAAGUCGACCAUGGAGUCUUGCGUCUUGAUCUCCAAGAAAUUCCCCACUAAUAUUAUAACUUAUCAAUGCUACACGACAAAUUAUACAAAGACACAAAUAUAAAACUCACCACCCAUUUCAUCAUUCACUCCCACACUUUCUUCCAUUUUUGAAAAGCUCUACCUGUGACCACCACACUUCCAUUCUCAAUCCAUGGACGGCCAUUCAGGAAUGCAUGGCCAUGGUUUCGGUAAUGCCAGAACUCCUUUGUUAGACAGACAUGCC
rnacentral:lncRNA from 1 species